UCCCAAAUGACUUCAAAGAAAUGUGAUUUCCUAAUUUAGCACCUUGAAAUCGGGCCUCUGUCUCUUUAAAAACCCCUGCUCUUCCUGAAACUCUGCCUCCAGGAAGUCAUCACAACAUGGCUCCUCUAUUAACCUCUUGGCAAC